rnacentral:rRNA from 1 species
UUGAAGAGUUUGAUCAUGGCUCAGAUUGAACGCUGGCGGCAGGCCUAACACAUGCAAGUCGAGCGGUAGCACAGAGAGCUUGCUCUCGGGUGACGAGCGGCGGACGGGUGAGUAAUGUCUGGGAAACUGCCUGAUGGAGGGGGAUAACUACUGGAAACGGUAGCUAAUACCGCAUAAUGUCGCAAGACCAAAGAGGGGGACCUUCGGGCCUCUUGCCAUCAGAUGUGCCCAGAUGGGAUUAGCUAGUAGGUGGGGUAACGGCUCACCUAGGCGACGAUCCCUAGCUGGUCUGAGAGGAUGACCAGCCACACUGGAACUGAGACACGGUCCAGACUCCUACGGGAGGCAGCAGUGGGGAAUAUUGCACAAUGGGCGCAAGCCUGAUGCAGCCAUGCCGCGUGUAUGAAGAAGGCCUUCGGGUUGUAAAGUACUUUCAGCGGGGAGGAAGGCGAUAAGGUUAAUAACCUUGUCGAUUGACGUUACCCGCAGAAGAAGCACCGGCUAACUCCGUGCCAGCAGCCGCGGUAAUACGGAGGGUGCAAGCGUUAAUCGGAAUUACUGGGCGUAAAGCGCACGCAGGCGGUCUGUCAAGUCGGAUGUGAAAUCCCCGGGCUCAACCUGGGAACUGCAUUCGAAACUGGCAGGCUAGAGUCUUGUAGAGGGGGGUAGAAUUCCAGGUGUAGCGGUGAAAUGCGUAGAGAUCUGGAGGAAUACCGGUGGCGAAGGCGGCCCCCUGGACAAAGACUGACGCUCAGGUGCGAAAGCGUGGGGAGCAAACAGGAUUAGAUACCCUGGUAGUCCACGCCGUAAACGAUGUCGACUUGGAGGUUGUGCCCUUGAGGCGUGGCUUCCGGAGCUAACGCGUUAAGUCGACCGCCUGGGGAGUACGGCCGCAAGGUUAAAACUCAAAUGAAUUGACGGGGGCCCGCACAAGCGGUGGAGCAUGUGGUUUAAUUCGAUGCAACGCGAAGAACCUUACCUACUCUUGACAUCCAGAGAACUUUCCAGAGAUGGAUUGGUGCCUUCGGGAACUCUGAGACAGGUGCUGCAUGGCUGUCGUCAGCUCGUGUUGUGAAAUGUUGGGUUAAGUCCCGCAACGAGCGCAACCCUUAUCCUUUGUUGCCAGCGGUUAGGCCGGGAACUCAAAGGAGACUGCCAGUGAUAAACUGGAGGAAGGUGGGGAUGACGUCAAGUCAUCAUGGCCCUUACGAGUAGGGCUACACACGUGCUACAAUGGCGCAUACAAAGAGAAGCGACCUCGCGAGAGCAAGCGGACCUCAUAAAGUGCGUCGUAGUCCGGAUUGGAGUCUGCAACUCGACUCCAUGAAGUCGGAAUCGCUAGUAAUCGUAGAUCAGAAUGCUACGGUGAAUACGUUCCCGGGCCUUGUACACACCGCCCGUCACACCAUGGGAGUGGGUUGCAAAAGAAGUAGGUAGCUUAACCUUCGGGAGGGCGCUUACCACUUUGUGAUUCAUGACUGGGGUGAAGUCGUAACAAGGUAACCGUAGGGGAACCUGCGGUUGGAUCACCUCCUU